UACAGAGGUCCCAAGCGUUGUUCGGAUUCAUUGGGCGUAAAGGGUGCGUAGGUGGCGCCGUAAGUCGGGUGUGAAAUUUCGGAGCUUAACUCCGAAACUGCAUUCGAUACUGUGGUGCUCGAGGACUGGAGAGGAGACUGGAAUUCAUGGUGUAGCAGUGAAAUGCGUAGAUAUCGUAAGGAAGACCAGUGGCGAAGGCGGGUCUCUGGACAGUUCCUGACACUGAGGCACGAAGGCCAGGGGAGCAAACGGG
rnacentral:rRNA from 1 species